ensembl:lncRNA LMO7DN LMO7 downstream neighbor
UUGAACCACCGAUCAGUCCAUAUUAGUAGUCUGGGGACACCCCAGUGCCGAGUCCUACAGGACACUGGCUGACGGAUUAACAGGACAUUUCAAUGAUCGUUGCCUCGUAGGAGCAAAUGUGGUCCGAUGAUUAUCCCGGGGCUCCUCUGAGAAAAGUAGGAGUAGAUUGCUGGAAUUACCAUGGGUUAAAAUGAAAGAGGAUGACCUGGCUGGACAAAGGCGUAUGGACUCAGGAAGACGAGAACUCCUGCUCCUUCUCUGAAUCGGAUUUUCCUGGCUGUAGAGACCAGAUCAACCCUUCCAUUCCAUCGAUUUGGACCGCAGUUUCGGGAAUGAUGAUUUCGCUGGAAGUGCGGUGGUGGAUAAAGGGGAAGCAGGGUUACGUAAUUUCACUGAUAGGGUCACGCUCUGUCACCUAGGCUGGAGUGCAGUGGAACAUUCUCAGCUCACUGCAUCCUCGGCCUCCCAGGGGGCUCAAGCUAUCCUCCCGCCUCAGUCUCCCAAGUAGUUGGGACCACAGCCUCCCUGGACCCACCAGUCAGUUACUUUAAUGAUCUCGCUGUGUUUCUUCUCAGCCUUUCCCCUCUGCGAUCCUCAGUCUGUGCUGAUUCAACUAACAUUUAUUGAACAUCUAGACGCCAUGCCAUGAACUCUCAUUAUUAACCUGUAAACUAAUUAUUGGUUCUCAAACUAAAGAUGACAAAAUCUAGUCUGUGAAAAUCAGUCAAAAACCAAAGACCACUUAAGAGACGUACCCGGGAUUCAAACCAGUUCAUCUGGCUGCAAACCAUUCCCAGCCCACCACACCCCAGGGAAAACUGUGCAAGGCGGGCAUUAUCCACGUUUUACCCAGAAGGAUCCUGAAGCUCACAGAGGUUAUGUAGCCUGCCUAAGGUUACCCAGCUAGCAACUGGCAAAGCUAGGAGUUGCUGCAGAAUAGCAAGCCUAUCACUCACAAUGGCCAGAAAUCAGAACAAAUGAUCAUUACAAACAACCCAUGUAGACAGUUUUCUAUCGUAAGGCAGUGAUUUUUGAGUCCAUAGAUGGGCCAGUAGGAAGUCUACACUGAAAUCAGCAUUGUGCCUCUUUGUAUCUGGUGGAGGAGGCUUGGGCCGAAGCUGGUAAAAUGAGAAGUUAGGGGAGGAUGUCCUCAGAGAGCUGGAAGAUCACAGUCCUCAUUGUCACAACCGAUACAGUGUUGAUAGGGACAACAUAUGCCUUGGAAUGUUUCAAAUACUUUGCCACAAUUAAGGGACACUGAACAGGAACUCAGUUUUGGAAAACAAAGUGGAAUUUCUGGAAACUGCUAGCAUAAAAGCUUUGACAGGGUCACAUGCAGAUUAGCAUAAUUUUAUUACAUUUUCUAUUUUAGUCCUGUGAGAUACUAAUUUGGAUUUCAUUGUGCCCAUUGAGCGGCUUUUGUUCUUUGGCUGUGAGUUUAAUUAUUUAGUUAUUUAUGAGUGCAUCUGGGCAUAAGUGCCACAGUUUUAUUUCGGUGACAAAUUUAUGGUCAGUGAAUUUUAGUAAUUAAUGAAUAAAUUAUUUCUCCUCCAUAAAUGCCCCUGCAAUUUCUGAUUUUCAUAACAAUUCAUAAUACUUAAGAAAAAUUCUUUAUUAGUUGAAAAAGCCAAUGCUAAUGGAAUCAGGAAAAGGAGAUUUCAAAUUGCUUUAAUUAACUGUAUUAAUUAAUAUCCAAUAUGUGUAAGAUAUUGAAUUGGCUUUGGUUGUCUCUCUUAGCAUUUAGUUGCCUAAAAUCUGUUUAACAUAUGAAUAUACUGUGUUAAAAUAAAUUCUAAUUCUUUUGUGAAGUAAAUGGCAA